UUUACAGAAUUCGCAGUUUCAAUUUAGCCUUCAUGGGCUUGAUGGCAAUUGGAUGUCAUUCUGCCAAAUUUCGGGCCGAUUUGCUAAAUUCUUGUCACUCUUUCGGUGUACUAGUGAAAACAAGCCUCAAAUGUUAUGGUGCAAGUACCCUAUUUGCUCGUUUAUUCUUAAAAUGUGCAGUGACAGGCUAUUAUGUGUGUAGCCUGGUUCUAAGUUAUCAUGGCUGAAGAGUUAUUGGUGAUUUUGAAUAGGAAGGAUCCUUCUUGUGGAUUAGGAUUUUCAUUGCUAGGAACACCUGGAUUACCUCCGAUUAUCUACGACAUUGUAGAAAAUUCACCUGCAGCUGAAAGUGGAAAGGUUGAAGCUGGAGAUGUCAUACUAAAAGUAAAUGAUACUGAUGUAAAUAGGUUCAACACUAAAGAAGUAUUAAAAUGUUUGAGGCUAUCGGAGAAUCCAGUUGCUUUGAAACUGAAAAGAGAUCCGUUGGUGAAGGCGAAAGUCCGCACGUACCUGUCGUCACAGCACUCCAACGAGGAUGACGCCCCUCCGGCCCCCUCCAAUGGGGGCGCCUGCCCCUGUGCCCCUGCCCCCGCGCCCCCCACGCAUCCGCCCUCCCUCGAGGAUGUCACGCGGAGCAACGGCGAGGACCACUACAGCAAAACGCAACCUAGGUGCGAAGCGUUCCUGAUGACCGGCGACCGCGUGCUGAAGUUGUCGCGGACGGCACAGAGCUCGCUGCUCCCCAAACAGAAGAAGGUGGACAGCUUGCAGCACCACCACCCCCCUCACCACAACCACCACCAUCACCACAACAGUCACCACAGUCACCACCAUCACAAGCACCAUCACAACUCGGUGCCCACCAGUCCCAUCGAGUCCGAGCGACACCACCAUCAUCACCAUGCUAAGCCCACGUCGUCGGCUGGUACAUCACCCACCCCCAGCGCAGCCCCCCCGAGCACAGCGGCCCCCACUUCCUCUUCCUCCUCUUCCUACGUGGUCCGUACAUCACGCUCCGAAGACCAGCUACAAUUCACCAAGGACGCGUCGAUGUCGGCCGUGGACAUUGACAUAGACGACGACAUGACGUCGUCACUGAACACACUGCUGGACACGCGGCCCGACGACCAGCGACCUGUGUGGACUUACAACAAGACUGGAGGCCAUUCGAGGACAAACAACUCCUCCGACAGCUCCUGUGAGAACUCUUCUGACAGAUCACGGUCGACGACAACCGUCUCGUCGGACAACGCCCUGUCGCCGGCCUCGCCAACAUCGGUCUCCUCCUCUGUGAUGUCCUCCUCCUCUUCUUCUUCCUCCUCCUCCUCCUCAUCGGCCUCCUCCUCGCAUAAGCCACCGACCACCAACCACCACCUGGCCACCACCGAUCUCAGCCAGUCGGAGGCCAUCUCCAACAUUUCGUCGCCCGACUUCCAGGACGAGAACUGCGAGAUUCUGAACGCGCGCGACCUGGUGAUGGAGGUGAGCGACCCUAGCGACAGCGACUCGACGCUGCUGCUGAGCGACAGGGGCGGCAGGGGGGGAGGGGGCACCGCCACCACACACACGCAGCAGAAUGGCGUCAACAACAACAAUGUGCCCACCAAGGAGCAGGUGGCUGCCGAUUAUAGGAUAGUUAUACAGGUGAAAGGGCCCGAGAAAGACUCAUUAGCUUCACAAAAUAGGUUACUUCAAAGUUUAAGACUGUCUUCGAGAGAAGAACAACUACAACAACAAACUAAUAACGGAACAGAUCAAUCUGGUUACCAGUCGCUGGACGAAGAGGCGUGCCUGCAGCAGCUGUCGGAGGGAGCAGCCAUCCUGGCAGCGCGGUGCGUGUCCCCCCCCGGCGACCCCCUCGACGAGAGUGACGUGGAGUCGCUGCACAGCUUCCACUUCAGCCCGAGCCCCAGCCCCAAGGCAGUCGACCUGCCCUCGGCCGUCAGGCUCGCCAAGAGGCUCUUCACCCUCGAUGGGUUCAAGAAGUCCGAUGUCAGUCGGCAUCUUAGUAAAAACAACGACUUCAGUCGAGCAGUUGCCGAGGAGUACUUGAAGUACUUUGAGCUAGAAGGAGACACCCUGGACCUGGCGCUGAGGAAGUUCCUGAAGCAGUUCAGUUUAUCGGGCGAGACGCAGGAGCGAGAGCGCGUGCUGCUGCACUUCUCCAAGCGAUAUCUCGACUGCAAUCCGGGCAGCUUCAAUUCGCAAGACGCUGUCCACACGCUAACAUGUGCAAUAAUGCUGUUGAACACGGACCUGAACGGGCAGGGCAUUGGUCACAAGAUGUCGUGCUCCGAGUUCAUAGAGAACUUGUCCGAACUGAACGACGGCGAUAAUUUCCCCAGAGAUGUGCUCAAGUGUCUAUACCAGGCCAUCAAGUCCUAUCCGCUCGAAUGGGCCAUCGACGAAGACCCGGAUGACGGCGAAAUCGGAGGCAAGGGAGGCAGCAACGACCUGACGGGCGGGGGUGGUGGUGGUGGCGGGGUUGGAGGCGGUGGAGGUCUGAUCAGCACAGGCAAGGGAUUCUUCGAUGUGCCCAGCUCUGCCCCCGCCAUUGAGUACAAGAAGGGUUACGUCAUGCGCAAGUCCUGCAUAGAGCCUAAUGGCAAAAAGACACCGCUGGGCAAACGCGGCUGGAAGAUGUUCUACUGCACUCUGCGUGACCUGGUGCUGUACCUGCACAAGGACGAGCACGGCUUCCGCAAGACGCAGUUGAGCGACAACCUGCACAACGCCAUCCGCAUCCACCACUCGCUCGCCACCAAGGCGCACGACUACACCAAGAAGCUGCACGUCUUUCGCCUAGAGACCGCCGACCAGGCCGAGUACCUCUUUCAAACCAGCGACUCGAAAGAGCUGCAGUCGUGGAUAGACACGAUCAACUUUGUGUGCGCCAGCUUCUCCGCUCCCCCCCUGCCUGGCGCCGUCGGCUCCCAGAAAAAGUUCCAGCGGCCUCUGCUUCCCAGCAGCUACACUAAGCUCAAUUUGAGAGAGCAGUUGCGCGACCACGAAGACAGGGUGCAGCGACUGGAGAGUGAGCUGGAAAUGCAUCGCAAGCAUCCCAUCGAGAGGGGGGCCAAAGCACUAGUCAUUCAAAACUACAAGGAGAAGGACGCCUACCUUCACUACGAAUUGAAACGCUACAAAACCUAUGCCUACCUACUGCGCUCGCGAAUAGCGCAGUACCCCGAACUAGAAGGGGGGAUGGAGGUUGAGGGGGACCUGGAGGCCCUAGGCGAGGGUGAUGGUGAGGAGGAGGGGGGAGACCACGCCCCUCCGCCAAUCUCAAACAGAUGUUGUACGAUCAGCUAAUGGUUGGAGACUCUGACAAGGCUCUCCUGAUAAUCUGAUCGGACGCUUUCCAAACAAAGCGCCAAUAAGGAGGAAAAUGAAGAGAAAAAGAAGAGGGAUUCCUAGCACUCAUCAUCGUCUUAAGUGAUCAAAAAUUUGUGAAAAUUGUAAUUAUCGUCUAUGUAAAGUUGUAAAGUGAUAUAUUCAUAAAAUGAAAAAUAACUAGGUAACUCUUACAUGGAAAAUAAACAAAGCUGCAUAAUCAACAACUCAUACUAUUAAGAAGUAUUUAUUUUACUGACUAUUAUUAGUUGCGAAGAUGACUUUGAUAAUAGGUAAGGUAAUCAUACCUAUUUAUAUUGUACUGUAUAUAAUAAUAAUAAAUUUCCACUAUUUUAAAUAGAAAACUAUUUUUACAGUGAAAACAAGCAAAACAAAAUAAUAAUGACAAGCUGAAAACUGAA
rnacentral:misc_RNA from 1 species